rnacentral:lncRNA from 1 species
CCUGUGAGGCCAAACCUCCCAAUUGCUGCCCUCAUCUUCUCCUCCUCAUUCCCAGGGUACUCUCUCAUCAUGUACUGAAGAGCAGACAUGUCCAUGUCUAGAUUCUCUUCUCCUCCUCAUUCCCAGGGUACUCUCUCAUCAUGUACUGAAGAGCAGACAUGUCCAUGUCUAGCUUCUCAGCUAAGUGUUGGUGGUACUGCGCGAUUUUAAGGUGAUUAUGCCGUUUAACCAUGCCAUCAGUGGGGAAUAAGUCCCCUAUCAUCAGCUUAAGCAAUGUGCUCUUUCCAGCUCCAUUAGGCCCCACAAGUGCUAUCCUGGAAUCAAGAUCUACACCAAAAUCAAGGUUCUUGUAGAUGAGGUUCUCAGGUGUGUAACCAAAUGCGACUUCUGAAAACUGUAAAACAGGAGGAGGAAGUUUGCCAACAUCAGUAAACCGGAAAACCAAAACACUGUCCCUCCCCACCUU